rnacentral:rRNA from 1 species
UGAGCUUGAUCCUGGCUCAGGAUGAACGCUAGCGGCAGGCUUAACACAUGCAAGUCGAGGGGUAGAAGUCUUCGGACUUUGAGACCGGCGCACGGGUGCGUAACGCGUAUGCCAUCUACCUUUUACAGAGGGAUAGCCCAGAGAAAUUUGGAUUAAUACCUCAUAGUAUAAUGACUCGGCAUCGAGAUAUUAUUAAAGUCACAACGGUAAAAGAUGAGCAUGCGUCCCAUUAGCUAGUUGGUAAGGUAACGGCUUACCAAGGCUACGAUGGGUAGGGGUCCUGAGAGGGAGAUCCCCCACACUGGUACUGAGACACGGACCAGACUCCUACGGGAGGCAGCAGUGAGGAAUAUUGGACAAUGGGCGCAAGCCUGAUCCAGCCAUGCCGCGUGCAGGAUGACGGUCCUAUGGACUUGUAAACUGCUUUUAUACGAGAAGAAACACU